GUUGUUGUGGUAUAGUGGUUAUGACGUUAGUCUUACACAUUAAAGGUCUUCAGUUUGAUCCUGGGCAGCAACA
rnacentral:tRNA from 1 species